rnacentral:rRNA from 1 species
GGUAUGUGUCCAGGUGCGUGUCAGUGAGAUGCGGCGUUAAUUCUUCGCAAGGAGCCACAACCUCUUGGAUUUAAUUGCCAUCAUUAAGCUGGGCGCUUUAAUGUGACUGACGGUGACACACCGGAGGAGGGUGGGUAAGACGUCAAAUCAUCAUGCUCUUUAUGACCUGGGAUACACACGUGGUCACAAUGGGUGGUACAAAGGGGCGCAAGAUCGCGAGGUUAAGGGAAUCCCAUAAAACCAUUUUCAGUUUGGAUUGCAGGCUGCAACUUGCCUGCAUGAAGCAGGAAUCGCUUGUAAUCGCGGAUCAGCAUGCCGCGGUGAAUACGUUUCCGGGCCUUGUACACACCGCCCGUCACACCCCGAGAGUUUG